rnacentral:lncRNA from 1 species
AUGUUCUCUCAGAUGUUAAUAGGGCCGUGGAGAGCAUCCUUGCAGACCCAGGCGGCCUGUUCCCAGCCUCAGGCUGCCCUGCUGGCUCACUCCUUGUCGCAAAACCCACUCAGAUCCCAUGAGAAGAAGGUGGGAGGGAAACCUCCCUGCAGCUGCCAGCCUCCCCCAGGCCCCUGGGCGAUGAGGGAGGGGUGGCUAGAGCGGGGCCUCUUCCAUGCCAGCUCGGGCAGUGGGGGGCCAGCGACUUGGGAGAGGGCGGGUGAACCUUGUUUUAAGAGACAGGAAAUAUUCGGCCACAGGCUCUCACGGAGGGAGACAGGUCCCGGCUUGAACUCCAGGAUAGAGCCGAUGCAUAGCAACCAGGAUGCAAAACACUCCCCACCCCCGGCACCCACUUUCAGGACGAGGUGGGAGGCGCCGCUGUCCUGGGUGCCUGGGCGAACUGGACGUGUGGGAGCCGCCCCGCCGGCCCCCUCCACUUCUGCGGUCUGCCAGCGCCUUCUGAUGCCAAGCCGCUGCCAAAGGCGGGCUGCCCACCGCCAGGCGCCAGCGCAGGAAAUCAGUUGGCCCAGGCCCCACGGCGCCUUCCUUUCCCCAACUUGGAAAGGGGGCGGCUCUGCGCGCUCCAGGGCAUCCGGGCCACGUCCAAGGUCUCCCCGGGUCAGACUGAACGUCCAGGGGCCGCCGGAGCAGCACGGGGACCCCUUGGAAGUCAUGGUCCUGCCGGGACGCGAACCAGGGGUGCGUCAGAAGAGGCCGCAUCUGGAAGGCCUUAGCGCUGGGGGCCCCCCAGGAGGCUGCUGUUUCCUGUCUGGGGCGGGGAGUGCCCUCUCCGGAGAGCCUGUGACCCCACCAGGCUUGGGACCAUCUGGCAAGGGAGACAGAGAAAGAGAGGGCGUGGGGAACAGGAAAUCAAAAGAUGGGAGAAAGCCCCCCCCCAGCGAUGACGGGGGAAUCAGGGGGUGCAAAGGGGGAGACGACAACACUCCCUGGGCCCCCCCUCGGUCCUGA